UCCACCCUAUCAUUCUCUCUCGCUUGUUCUCCAUCCCGUCCAGAUCCCGCCGCCCCCAACCCUCCCACCCUUCCCCUCCACAGCAAGCCACCUCUACCAUCCCGGCUCCCUCCCUCUUCUGCCGCACAAAUAUCGGCGAGAUCCAGGGAGACGGGGACGUCGAUAUCGGCAUCAACCUCGCCAAGCUUGAUCCGGGGAUACCGGGGCCCCGGGCUGCCGUAGUGUUGGAUGUUGUGGCCGUCUCUUCCCACUGGCGGGAGACGCGGGGCCUGUCGCGGGCUUACCCGGGAGGGUCGACAGUGUGCACGACCUGUACUGCUUCCUGCUGGCCUCUCACGGCCUCCUCCUGGUCCACAGCUACUCCGCGACUCCAACUUGGAGGCAUUGAGAAAAGGCCUGUCUUUUUGUGCUCGAACUUCUUGCUUCUUCCCUUUGAUUGUUGGUGGACGUGUGAUUUUGUUGUUGUUCGGGCUGGAUAGGUCAAGCUGCAAAAGUAGUUGUAGCCAGAUUACUACUCCCUCUGUUCACUUAUAUAAGACGUUUUAGCAAAUUCAGACAGUGCACUAAACAGUUCAAACCCAGCUGUCUGAAACGCCUUAUAAAAACGAACGGAGGGAGUACUAAUUUUUAUAGAUUACUUACCAGGACGUUGAACGAAUUCAAUUCUUUCUAGUUUGUGUGCUAUUGUAUAUUUUAACUUUUGUGUUCCUAACUACGGCCCUCUGAAUGUAAUGUUGUUGUUCUGAAUUUUACCCUGGCCUGCCCCUAAUCAGUGUUUUUUUGGUUUGGUUUCCUGUGUAAUGCAUUUUGGAUACGGUGAUGCAGGUGACUAGCCGUAGAUGUGGCCUGGUGUCCCAAGCUUCUGCAUGGAGCUCGCCAUGCUUCACCAAGAAUCAUGACGAUGCUGCCUUGUGCUCGCCAUGCGCAGAACUAGGGUCGUGAGGAGGAAGACAAGGCCACACACGAGGAAAUUCGAGACGGAGGCGGCACCAAACAUAACUUGAGCCUGAUUUUUCUUGCUAGCUUAGCGUUUUGCUUUCAUAGGUUUGGAGCUCUAAAUUUAAGCUUUUGCUCUGAAUCUUCAAUUGAUCCACAGGUUUCUGAUCGUUCUGAACAAAUGCUUGAACUCUUUGUUGUUUGAUGUGAUUUUGGGAGUUCAUUAGACUUUGGAAAGUUGUUUGCUUUCCCUUAAUCGUUUUCUUAAUCUCCUCCCUUCUUUAGUGGAUCUCCAUGCAAGUGUUAGUGGGUAAUGCAUGGUUAAAUUAUAUUU